rnacentral:rRNA from 1 species
GACGGAGGGGGCAAGCGUUGUUCGGAAUUAUUGGGCGUAAAGGGCGCGUAGGCGGCCUUCUAAGUCGAACGUGAAAUCCCCGGGCUCAACCCGGGAACUGCGUCCGAUACUGGAAGGCUUGAAUCCGGGAGAGGGAUGUAGAAUUCCAGGUGUAGCGGUGAAAUGCGUAGAUAUCUGGAGGAAUACCGGUGGCGAAGGCGGCAUCCUGGACCAUUACUGACGCUGAGGCGCGAAAGCUAGGGGAGCAAACGGG